rnacentral:rRNA from 1 species
AUGGCAACAGCGGCCUACGGCGUCCAAAACAAAGGGGGGCAAGAGGGAUCUGAGAGAGGAGCUCACAGUGAGUCCGUUGGCCUACUCGGGAAGGGUCGGGGUGGACCGAAGCGUCGACAUCGACGGCGAGUUAGUGGCGGCUGGUUGAAGAAGACGACAAUGGUGACAUGUACGCAGCUCCUUGGCUCAAGCUGGUCCCCGAAAUGGACGAAGUCGAGCGCGGAAAUCCUCCAGGACGUGCUCCCGAGCGACGGCGACGACGGUGUCCACGAUAAUGAUGGUGAGGCAGUGGUCACCACGUGA